GUGAUUCUAUAUUUUCACAUCCUUAUCCCACAUACAAGUGUAAGACACGUUAUGCCUGUUUUCUCUGGAAGGGGCAGAGUCUCUGUAUUAUGACCUUCUGUUAACUUCUUGAGAGGCCUCUGUUUUGCAAUCCAGCAAAAUAAUUCCCAGCUCUGUGCCUUCUUUUUCUGUAUGUCUUCUCUUCAUAGCAAAUCGAACUGUAUCCUGCAGGACCACUAGGAAGUCUCUGUGCCAAACAGCUUUCUGAUUCACACUUUCAUUCCCUGAGGACACCCAAGUAGGGCUGGGCUGCUGGGCGACAGAAGCUUUCUCUUUACUAUUUUAUCCAUUAACUCAGAUACAGUUGAGAAGAAUGUAUGCUAUAUGGAAGAACACGCAGAAGUUGUGAGCAACCACACGGUCUGAAUGUUAAGGGUUCAUCCAUCUUCCUGCACAAGAAUGCCUUUAUCUGGAAAAGACAAACAUCCCAGGAGUCUGUAAGAAGUAAGAAGUAAGCUGUUGCAGCUUGAAUUUGUGAGAGGACUUCUGUGGAGCCUGAACCACCUCCCUCCAUCUCAAAGGAGACCGAGCCUUCCCUCUUUCUUAAAGCAAGGCACCCUGGCGGCCUGCGUAGUAAGAUUGUAGCUCAGCAAGCUCCUGCUUGCAGCAUGUCCCAGCAGGCUGCAGAAGGUAAGUGAUAGCUUGUAUGCGAUGUGCUGGCGUUUGUAUCAAGCAAAUUCAUCCUUGCUCAUUAGCAUUCAAGGGAGAAAGGAAAGCUGCUCUUAAGCAGACCUUCAGAAUGACCUGUAUUUUUGGGUUAGUCUGAGAAAUUCUCUCCCUGACCUUUUAAUUGGAGGCAGUGUGUUAGAUUUAGUAUUAUUAAAGAUGUUUGCUCUUCAGAAUACCUUCUAUUGUUCUCGUUAGUACCCCUUACUCCCAAGUGGCAUAAAGAACACUGUUUUGAGAAGAGGAUCCAGGGAUGGCCAAGACAAGAGAAAUAGGAGUGAAGCUGAAGUAGGUAACAUAGCUUUGCACAUAAACCUGCCUGUCUUGUUUCAAGAUGCAUAGAUUUCUGUUCAUCUUGUGGGGCAGUUCUGUUAUCCCCAGCGUAGCUCCUGAUGAUUGUCCCGAGGAAAGGUAAUUCGUCAUGAUCUGUCCUGCCGAAAUACCUGCAACCCAUUUCUGGAUUUAGGCAGAAAUCUUCCUUACCAGUUGCAAUCAACCUUCAAGUACGUCUCUGCGGAAGGACGUAAAACCCAGCAGGACUCCCUUAUCACAUGGCAUUAACUGAUGUGCUGCUGUCAUUUUCGAUACAUUUGACUUCUUACCUCCAACCCCCAUGCUGAGAUCUCGUGUUCCUUUUUUCCCCAGGGUCAUGUCUUACACAGAGUCCCCACUGUGGCUUUGCUCUGCUGGGUCAAAGGAAACAUGAGAUAACAAUUUUUGCCCUUUCCUGUUAAUGGUUAAAAUUAUAGAAGGGGAAACAAGGCGUCUGUAUGGAUUUCGUCUUUAAGACUGAUUUUAUCAUUUCAGGGGAACGUGGAAAGGCAGACCCACUCCAAGGCUUUUGACUUGCCACACCUUUCCGAGAGGAUGACAUCUCAGAGGCUCUGUGUCUGUCCCAGAUUGUGACUGUUUUCUUCUGAAGAGCAAACGUGAGAUUCAAAGAGCGCCUGGCAAAAGCUGCUUCUAGUACUGCAGCAGCAGCAUGGGAAGUAUUUCAUGUAUGUAGAAGAUAGAGCAUCUGUGUAGGCGGUUGUUUUCUGCAACUCUCUGUGAGUUUGGGGAGAAGUUAUUAAGUACUGCUUCUCCUUCUUUCUUUAAAAAAGGACAGAGAGAGAAAGCCUGCAUUUUCUACCAUUUCCCAAGAGGCUUUUUAUCUGUUUAAACCAACUAGGGAUUUUUCACAUAUUGACAUAAGCAUUCAUUUGCUAAUUUGCUGGACAUUAAACUGCACAGCAUUCUUGAAUGAGGCUGGAAUACUUGGGUACUUAGUGCUGCUCAGACCCCGCAUCAUUCCCAGUACACAUAUGGUUUUCCUCCUCUAUCUCCUAGAUAAAAGUCACUGUUUGAUCGCCUUAAGGGAAAGAAUGAGUUAAAUGGACCAAUAUUUUAGCCUUGGCUCUAAAACUGGGCCUUUUCAGAAACUCCUCAGCACCUGCAGCAGCUAGGUCAUUUGCACAUACAUAAAUAAAUAAAUUAACAAUGAAUAAAUAAUUUAAUCCCG
rnacentral:lncRNA from 7 species